rnacentral:rRNA from 1 species
GUUUGAUCCUGGCUCAGAUUAAACGCUGGCGGCAUGCCUUACACAUGCAAGUCGAACGGCAGCACGGGGCAACCUGGUGGCGAGUGGCGAACGGGUGAGUAAAGCAUCGGAACGUGCCCUGGAGUGGGGGAUAACGUAGCGAAAGUUACGCUAAUACCGCAUAUUCUGUGAGCAGGAAAGCAGGGGAUCGCAAGACCUUGCGCUCUGGGAGCGGCCGAUGUCGGAUUAGCUAGUUGGUGGGGUAAAGGCCUACCAAGGCGACGAUCCGUAGCGGGUCUGAGAGGAUGAUCCGCCACACUGGGACUGAGACACGGCCCAGACUCCUACGGGAGGCAGCAGUGGGGAAUUUUGGACAAUGGGCGCAAGCCUGAUCCAGCCAUGCCGCGUGAGUGAAGAAGGCCUCGGUGU